rnacentral:rRNA from 1 species
ACCGAACCCACUAACGUUGAAAAGUUAGGGGAUGAGCUGUGGAUAGGGGUGAAAGGCCAAUCAAACACCGUGAUAGCUGGUUCUCCCCGAAAUGCAUUUAGGUGCAGCGUUGCGUGGUUCUUGUUGGAGGUAGAGCACUGGAUGGUCUAGGGGGCUUAUCGGCUUACCGAAAUCAGCCAAACUCCGAAUGCUGGCAAGUGUAGCGUGGCAGUGAGACGGCGGGGGAUAAGCUUCGUCGUCGAGAGGGAAACAGCCCAGAUCAUCAGCUAAGGCCCCUAAGUGGUGACUCAGUGGGAAAGGAUGUGGAGUUGCGUAGACAACCAGGAGGUUGGCUUGGAAGCAGCCAUCCUUGAAAGAGUGCGUAAUAGCUCACUGGUCAAGUGAUUCCGCGCCGAUAAUGUAGCGGGGCUUAAGUUAUCCGCCGAAGCUGUGGCAACCUGUGUGGUUGGGUAGGGGAGCGUCGUGUCAGUGGUGAAGCUGCCGGGUGACUGUGUGGUGGAGUUGAUGCGAGUGAGAAUGCAGGCAUGAGUAGCGUGUGACGGGUGGGAAUCCCGUCCGCCGAUUAUCCAAGGGUUCCAGGGUCAAGUUUGUCUGCCCUGGGUGAGUCGGGUCCUAAGGCGAGGCCGACAGGCGUAGUCGAUGGGUAACCAGUUGAUAUUCUGGUACCGGCUUGUCACCGUCCGUGUCG